rnacentral:lncRNA from 1 species
GGGAAGGAGGCGGGGCGUGGGCAAGAGGAGGCGGAGACAGCUAUGGGGUUCUUCUGAGCAACGCGCUGGCGCGGCUCAGAGGCUUCAAAGAUCACUUCACCUUUUGCCGACAGCUAAACAUCAGCAUCUGCCCGCUCAGCCAGACGGCGGCGCGCUUCCAGGUCAUCGUUUAUAAUCCCCUGGGGCGGAAGGUGAAUUGGAUGGUACGGCUGCCGGUCAGCGAAGGCGUUUUCGUUGUGAA